CAUGUACUCCCUCCGUUCGGAAUUACUUGUCGCAGAAAUGGAUGUAUCUAGACGUAUUUUAGUUCUAGAUACAUCCAUUUUCGCGACAAGUAAUUCCGAACGGAGGGAGUACUUA
rnacentral:pre_miRNA from 1 species